AGAGUUUGAUCCUGGCUCAGAGUGAACGCUGGCGGCAGGCCUAAUACAUGCAAGUCGAACGGCAGCACAGCAGAGCUUGCUCUGUGGGUGGCGAGUGGCGGACGGGUGAGGAAUACGUGGGAAUCUGCCCAGUCGUGGGGGAUAACGUAGGGAAACUUACGCUAAUACCGCAUGCGCCCUUCGGGGGAAAGCCGGGGACCUUCGGGCCUGGCGCGAUUGGAUGAGCCCACGUCGGAUUAGCUAGUUGGCGGGGUAAAGGCCCACCAAGGCGACGAUCCGUAGCUGGUCUGAGAGGAUGAUCAGCCACACUGGAACUGAGACACGGUCCAAACUCCUACGGGAGGCAGCAGUAGGGAAUAUUGGACAAUGGGCGCAAGCCUGAUCCAGCCAUGCCGCGUGAGUGAAGAAGGCCCUCGGGUUGUAAAGCUCUUUUGUCCGGAAAGAAAAGCGCCGGGUUAAUACCCUGGUGUCCUGACGGUACCGGAAGAAUAAGCACCGGCUAACUUCGUG
rnacentral:rRNA from 1 species